AGAAUCAACGCUGGCGGCGUGCCUCAGACAUGCAAGUCGAACGAUUAAAGCUCUCUUCGGAGAGUGUAUAGAGUGGCGCACGGGUGAGUAACACGUAAGUAAUCUACCUUUGAGUGGGGAAUAACAGUCGGAAACGGCUGCUAAUACCGCAUAAUGCAGCGGCAUCGCAAGAUGACAGUUGUUAAAGGAGCAAUCCGCUUAAAGAGGAGCUUGCGGCAGAUUAGCUUGUUGGUAAGGUAACGGCUUACCAAGGCUACGAUCUGUAUCCGGUCUAAGAGGACGGUCGGACACACUGACACUGAAUAACGGGUCAGACUCCUACGGAGGCAGCAGUCGGGAAUUUUGGGC
rnacentral:rRNA from 1 species